UACGGAGGAUGCGAGCGUUAUCCGGAUUUAUUGGGUUUAAAGGGUGCGUAGGCGGACUGUCAAGUCAGCGGUAAAAUUGAGAGGCUCAACCUCUUCCCGCCGUUGAAACUGGUGGUCUUGAGUGGAUGAGAAGUACGCGGAAUGCGUGGUGUAGCGGUGAAAUGCAUAGAUAUCACGCAGAACUCCGAUUGCGAAGGCAGCGUACCGUCAUCCAACUGACGCUGAGGCACGAAAGCGUGGGGAUCAAACAGG
rnacentral:rRNA from 1 species